rnacentral:rRNA from 1 species
AAUAGAUACCCGGGUAGUCCACGCCGUAAACGAUGAGUGCUAAGUGUUAGAGGGUUUCCGCCCUUUAGUGCUGCAGCAAACGCAUUAAGCACUCCGCCUGGGGGAGUACGGCCGCAAGGCUGAAACUCAAAGGAAUUGACGGGGGGCCCGCACAAGCGGUGGAGCAUGUGGUUUAAUUCGAAGCAACGCGAAGAACCUUACCAGGUCUUGACAUCCUCUGACAAUCCUAGAGAUAAGACUUUCCCCUUCGGGGGACAGAGUGACAGGUGGUGCAUGGUUGUCGUCAGCUCGUGUCGUGAGAUGUUGGGUUAAGUCCCGCAACGAGCGCAACCCUUGAUCUUAGUUGCCAGCAUUCAGUUGGGCACUCUAAGGUGACUGCCGGUGACAAACCGGAGGAAGGUGGGGAUGACGUCAAAUCAUCAUGCCCCUUAUGACCUGGGCUACACACGUGCUACAAUGGAUGGUACAAAGGGCUGCAAGACCGCGAGGUUUAGCCAAUCCCAUAAAACCGAUUCUCAGUUCGGAUUGCAGG